rnacentral:rRNA from 1 species
CCCCUAACAUUCAUAAGCGGAGGAAAGAACCAACAGGGAUUGCCCUAGUAACGGCGAGUGAAGCGGCAACAGCUCAAAUUUGAAAUCUGGCCUCACGGUCCGAAUUGUAAUUUGUAGAGGAUGUUUCUGGCGACGUGUCUUCCGAGUUCCCUGGAACGGGACGCCAUAGAGGGUGAGAGCCCCGUCCGGUCGUACACCUAGCCUCUGUGAAACUCCUUCGACGAGUCGAGUAGUUUGGGAAUGCUGCUCUAAAUGGGAGGUAUACGUCUUCUAAAGCUAAAUACCGGCCAGAGACCGAUAGCGCACAAGUAGAGUGAUCGAAAGAUGAAAAGCACUUUGAAAAGAGGGUUAAAUAGUACGUGAAAUUGCUGAAAGGGAAGCGCUUAUGACCAGACUUGGGCUCGGUGAAUCAUCCGGCGUUCUCGCCGGUGCACUUUGCCGUCCCAGGCCAGCAUCAGUUCGCGCCGGGGGAUAAAGGUUUCGGGAAUGUAGCUCCCUCGGGAGUGUUAUAGCCCGUUGCGUAAUACCCUGGCGUGGACUGAGGUCCGCGCUCUGCAAGGAUGCUGGCGUAAUGGUCAUCAGUGACCCGUCUUGAAACACGGACCAAGGAGUCGUCUUCGUAUGCGAGUGUUCGGGUGUCAAACCCCUACGCGUAAUGAAAGUGAACGUAGGAGAGAGCUUCGGCGCAUCUCCGACCGAUCCUGAUGUUCUCGGAUGGAUUUGAGUAAGAGCAUACGGGGCCGGACCCGAAAGAAGGUGAACUAUGCCUGUAUAGGGUGAAGCCAGAGGAAACUCUGGUGGAGCUCGCAGCGGUUCUGACGUGCAAAUCGAUCGUCAAAUAUGGGCAUGGGGGCGAAAGACUAAUCGAACCUUCUAGUAGCUGGUUCCGCG